AAGGUCAGAUCCAGCCACCCCGCUGGGGUGUCUGCAUACAUGCACAUACAUGUACAGGCACAGGCAGGUGAUGUACACAGACUAACUCUCUUCUCCCCAAGUGCAGUGCAGGCAGACCAUGGCUGAGUACCCUUUCAGGAGCCGUGCUGCGUCCUCUCCCUGUUUCUGAUGCAAUGGGAGAUGAGGACUGUGUGUGUCAUAUCCUUGGAAUGGCUUUUAUGAGGCACCAUGCCUCCAUCUCCUGCUGCUUGGAACUGCCACAACCACUUCUAGCCCCCUCUGAGCUUUUAUGCUUCCAGAUGGGCCUAUUAGACUCCCUAGGAGUGCAACUGUAAGGAUCUGCAGAAACGCCACCCGAGCACUGCGCUGGGGGAGCAUCACUAACACCAGCGGAGCCUUGCCUCCGUGCAGUUGUCUUUACUCACGAAAGGGGCUGUGACUCCCCAAGGGCUCAGGAUCAGCAGUGUUUUGCAGUAGCUUUAUUACCAAGGCUUGCACUCCAUAGCAAGGAAAACGAAGUGUUGACGAGGAUGCCAUCCUGUCUUUGCCACUGAUCUCUCAUGUGGCCGUGGUCACAUUAGUGGGAUUUCCCCAGCUGUUCUGAAAUUGCGAGCAGAUGAAUCCUUGGAGGCAGGGAAUGUCUUCUGUGAUGUGAGCAGUUUCUACUACCAAGAGUAGCCUGAUUUUUAGUGCAACUUUUGCCGUAAUGGUAAUAGUAAGCUUAUAAGCAUCUGUUUUCUGCCUGUAGAAGUAACAUUGUUGUGUCCUUCCUGAGAUGCUUUUUUUGCAACUGUCUCCUCUCCGAGGGAAAGCAUAGCCGGGUUGCUGCCUCCACCUGAAAUGGAUUCUGGUAGCAUUGCCAGUCCUGGAUUUUGGGAGGUAGUUCUUUGAAAAUGAAUGCACAUUUUAAUCAGUGAAAACAGCCUUAGCGUAACUGACUUCCUGCACAAUGGAACAAAUACGUUCUGUGGUUUCCCCUCUCCCUUGUGCGUUCCUCCUCACGGCUGCAAUAGCUUGCUCGUGCAGAAAGGGUGAAAUCUCAGGCCCUGCUCAGCUUGAUUGCAAAACUCCCAGUGACUUCAAAUCUGAAUACAGUGUUGCCAGCAUUUUAAAGAACUCAGCAGGGACAGCCAGAAGCAGAUGCCUCGCUCUGGUUUAGCAAAAUGGUCAUGGAGAAUAUACCUCCGUAUGAGAAACACGCUCCCCAGAGUAACAUUCAACUGGAUAGCAUGAUUGGUAGAAAUUUAAAACUGAUGUAAAAAAAUAUAUGUAAUCAUCAGAAGAUCACUGGGGCUCAGUCCUGAAGAAAUCCGAGCACCUGGGCACACAAGUCGUGUAAGCAUUGAAGUAGUCUCAUUGAGCAGGCUGAAGGUCAAGUGUUUUCAAGUAAGAGCAGCACAGAAGCCAGGUAGGAGUUGCAGUGUUCAUAACAGUCAUUUUCAGGUUGGCUGGAGGCCCAGCCCUCCAGUGCCCAUGGUUUACACGGGAAAUGACACCCAUGUCAAUGUUGCAGCUGAACUUCUUUAGUUCGACUGAUGCUGUUCCUCUGGGGAUACACUUACCCUGAAAUAAAAGUAGCAUUUUCUAGCA
rnacentral:lncRNA from 1 species